rnacentral:rRNA from 1 species
AUGCAAGUCGAACGGCAGCACGGAGCUUGCUCUGGUGGCGAGUGGCGAACGGGUGAGUAAUAUAUCGGAACGUACCCUGGAGUGGGGGAUAACGUAGCGAAAGUUACGCUAAUACCGCAUACGAUCUAAGGAUGAAAGUGGGGGAUCGCAAGACCUCAUGCUCGUGGAGCGGCCGAUAUCUGAUUAGCUAGUUGGUGGGGUAAAGGCCUACCAAGGCAUCGAUCAGUAGCUGGUCUGAGAGGACGACCAGCCACACUGGAACUGAGACACGGUCCAGACUCCUACGGGAGGCAGCAGUGGGGAAUUUUGGACAAUGGGCGAAAGCCUGAUCCAGCAAUGCCGCGUGAGUGAAGAAGGCCUUCGGGUUGUAAAGCUCUUUUGUCAGGGAAGAAACGGUGAGGGCUAAUAUCUCUUGCUAAUGACGGUACCUGAAGAAUAAGCACCGGCUAACUACGUGCCAGCAGCCGCGGUAAUACGUAGGGUGCAAGCGUUAAUCGGAAUUACUGGGCGUAAAGCGUGCGCAGGCGGUUUUGUAAGUCUGAUGUGAAAUCCCCGGGCUCAACCUGGGAAUUGCAUUGGAGACUGCAAGGCUAGAAUCUGGCAGAGGGGGGUAGAAUUCCACGUGUAGCAGUGAAAUGCGUAGAUAUGUGGAGGAACACCGAUGGCGAAGGCAGCCCCCUGGGUCAAGAUUGACGCUCAUGCACGAAAGCGUGGGGAGCAAACAGGAUUAGAUACCCUGGUAGUCCACGCCCUAAACGAUGUCCACUAGUUGUCGGGUCUUAAUUGACUUGGUAACGCAGCUAACGCGUGAAGUAGACCGCCUGGGGAGUACGGUCGCAAGAUUAAAGCUCAAAGGAAUUGACGGGGACCCGCACAAGCGGUGGAUGAUGUG